rnacentral:snRNA from 1 species
AUACUUACCUGAGAGGAGAGAUACCGUGAUCAGUUAGUUAAGGCGGUAUUCUCAGGGCGAGGCCUACACAUUGCUCUACAGGAGGGAGGUUGACCCUUCAAUUUCCCCAAAUGGGGGGGGGGGGGG